rnacentral:tRNA from 1 species
UCUAAAGUUAGUGGGUUUCAUGUUGUAUUGUGGUUACAAAGGUAGUGCUUUAGAG